GGGCUGUUGAGGUAGCAAUAUCGCGACAGUCCAGUGGCGAACGGGUGCGUAACACGUGGAUACAUUCCGGGAAGCGGGGGAUAGCCCAGGGAAACUUGGAUUAAUACCGCAUGUGAUCGAGAGAUCAAAGACGGGGACCGCAAGGCCUGUCACUUCCCGAUUGGUCCGCGGCCUAUCAGCUAGUUGGCGGGGUAAAAGCCCACCAAGGCUACGACGGGUAGCUGGUCUUAGAGGACGACCAGCCACACUGGAACUGAGACACGGUCCAGACACCUACGGGUGGCAGCAGUCGAGAAUCUUUCACAAUGGGGGCAACCCUGAUGGAGCGACGCCGCGUGGAGGAUAAGGUCUUCGGAUUGUAAACUCCUGUCAUGCGAGAACAAGGUUGCAGGGCUAACACCUUUGCAAAUUGAUGGUACCGCAAGAGGAAGAGACGGCUAACUCUGUGCCAGCAGCCGCGGUAAUACAGAGGUCUCAAGCGUUGUUCGGAAUCACUGGGCGUAAAGGGUGCGUAGGUGGCGUGGUAAGUCAGAUGUGAAAGCCCGGGGCUCAACCUCGGAAUUGCAUCCGAUACUACCAUGCUAGAGUACUGAAGAGGUGACUAGAAUUCUAGGUGUAGCAGUGAAAUGCGUAGAUAUCUAGAGGAAUACCAACGGCGAANGCAGGUCACUGGGCAGUUACUGACACUGAGGCACGAAGGCCAGGGGAGCAAACGGGAUUAGAUACCCCGGUAGUCCUGGCAGUAAACGGUGCACGUUUGGUGUGGGCGCAAUCGACCGCGUCCGCGCCGGAGCUAACGCGUUAAGCGUGCCGCCUGGGAAGUACGGUCGCAAGAUUAAAACUCAAAGAAAUUGACGGGGANCCGCACAAGCGGNGGAGUAUGUGGCUUAAUUCGAUGCAACGCGAAGAACNUUACCUGGNCUUGACAUGCAU
rnacentral:rRNA from 1 species